GGGGCGGUAGCUCAAUUGGCAGAGCAGCAGACUCUUAAUCUGCGGGUUGGGGGUUCGAUUCCCCCCCGCCUCACCA
rnacentral:tRNA from 3 species